rnacentral:rRNA from 1 species
UACGUAGGUGGCAAGCGUUAUCCGGAAUUAUUGGGUGUAAAGGGUGCGUAGACGGGAAAACAAGUUAGUUGUGAAAUCCCUCGGCUUAACUGAGGAACUGCAACUAAAACUAUUUUUCUUGAGUGCAGGAGAGGUAAGUGGAAUUCCUAGUGUAGCGGUGAAAUGCGUAGAUAUUAGGAGGAACACCAGUGGCGAAGGCGACUUACUGGACUGUAACUGACGUUGAGGCACGAAAGUGUGGGGAGCAAACAGG